rnacentral:rRNA from 1 species
AAUUCCAGCUCCAAUAGCGUAUACUAAAGUUGUUGCGGUUAAAAAGCUCGUAGUUGGAUCUUGGAAUGUGUUCAAGCGGGUCAGCUUCUGGCUGUUCGCUGCUUGACGUGUUCUUCUAUUUGGUUUUGGUGCGGUGCGCUUAACUGCGUGUCGCUCCCGGCCGAAACGUUUACCUUGAAAAAAUUAGAGUGUUCAAAGCAGACCUGUUUGAGUCUGAAUAUUCGUGCAUGGAAUAAUGAAAUAUGAAUUCGGUUCUAUUUUGUUGGUUUUCGGAACUCGAGUUAAUGAUCAAGAGGGACAGACGGGGGCAUUCGUACUCUGCCGUUAGAGGUGAAAUUCUUGGAUCGGCGGAAGACGCGCAACUGCGAAAGCAUUUGCCAAGAAUGUUUUCAUCA